rnacentral:rRNA from 1 species
CCUACGGGCGGCAGCAGUGAGGAAUCUUGGUCAAUGGACGCAAGUCUGAACCAGCCAUGCCGCGUGCAGGAAGACGGCUCUCUGAGUUGUAAACUGCUUUUGUACGAGGGUAAACGCAGAUACGCGUAUCUGUCUGAAAGUAUCGUACGUAUCAGGAUCGGCUAACUCCGGGCCAGCAGCCGCGGUGAUACGGAGGAUUCAAGCGUUAUCUGGAUUUAUUGGGUUUAAAGGGUGCGUAGGCGGUCGGAUAAGUUAGAGGUGAAAUCCCGAGGCUCAACUUGGGAAUUGCAUCGGAUACUGUGCGGCUAGAGAGUAGAUGCGGUAGGCGGAAUGUAUGGUGUAGCGGUGAAAUGCUUAGAGAUCAGACAGAACACCGAUGGCGAAGGCAGCUUACCAAGCUACUUCUGACGUUGAGGCACGAAAGCGUGGGUAGCAAACAGGAUUAGAUACCCUUGUAGUC